GGUUUCCCCUUGGACUUCCGGCUUAGGCCAGCAGCAGCCUACACAAUCCCCACAGACACACCUAAGCCUGAGAGUCCCGCCCACCUUCUUGUAAGGAAGUCAAUCUCCAAUCAGUCCUGACAGAACAGUCCACUUGCAGAGCUCACAGGCUUUCCUGGGCUGACAACUGAGUCCUGAAGCCACGGAGGGACAGGACCCAGAGGCUAGAGAGGACAGCUCAUAACUGACGGUGACACCGACAGAAACAGCGUGGAAGAUUCCAUACAUAACAAAGUGGUUAUGAGAGAACCUCGCAGGCGGGGUUGACCCACCGCUCACAAACCAUGAAGAGAUUUAGUGCAACUCCUUGUGGCCAUUGCCUUGUGAUGCUUCUGGAGCAGCGUUCAAAGUGUUUCCAAAAGAGGAGCUUGCUAAUAUCUGGAGCAGCCAGGGCUUCGUCAGAAACAAAACCCACCACUUCCCAGGACGGCGCCUUUGAAGAAGGCCUACUUAUUUGUGCCUAGGCGUCAGGAGGAUUGUCAAACAGCCGCAUCGGCUUCUAACUCUGUCCUCUUUACCAAAAGCUAGCACUGCACGGAGAGGAAGAACCUGGGCAGAGAUACAGAAGAGGGACAAAGUGGAAGAAGAGCAGCUGGGGUGUGACAUCCUCUGCAAAACA
rnacentral:lncRNA from 1 species